rnacentral:rRNA from 1 species
UACGAAAGGGGCUAGCGUUGUUCGGAAUUACUGGGCGUAAAGCGCACGUAGGCGGAAUUGUAAGUUCGGGGUGAAAUCCCGGGGCUCAACCUCGGAACUGCCUUUGAUACUGCGAAUCUCGAGGCCGAUAGAGGUGGGUGGAAUUCCUAGUGUAGAGGUGAAAUUCGUAGAUAUUAGGAAGAACACCGGUGGCGAAGGCGGCCCACUGGAUCGGUACUGACGCUGAGGUGCGAAAGCGUGGGGAGCAAACAGG